CCUAACUCUCUUGGCUCCAACAUUGGCCUCUUACUCAAGGUUACUAACACUUGUGUCCAACUGAAGCUGCAAAUCAAAUAACAGUAACCUUAAAUUGUGUGGAGCUUUUUAGUUUAUGAAAUGGCUUCCUCUGUCCAUCUCCACGGCGGGGCUCGGAGGCUCAGGAGCUAUCACGGAAGAGGGGGCGGAAGCAGUGGAAGGCCAGAGGAUCGGGAGAGGUGCUGGGACAUGCUGUCUCCUGGACAUGACACAGCUGUUGUACUCAUGAAGUCAAUGUGACUGAGGAAAUGGGAUGUCCCUCCGUUUCAGGGUGAGUCUUCCCCCUCUCAAUUAAACCUUUCUAGAAAUACCCUCACAGACACACCCAGAGGUGUGUUUCCACAGUGAGUCUAAAUCCUGUCAAGUUGAUAAUCAAGACUAUAACACCAAAGUAGUGUUUAUUUUGGGGCAAACUAUGGUUAAUUGGAGGGUGGGGAUGAAGGGGUUUCUGAGGCGCUAGCCAUACUCUUCUUUUGGUUAUACAUGUGUGUGAAAAUCGAUUGAGUUGUGAACUGACAUUUACAAUCCUCUGUAGGUGUGUGAAUCGCCAAUGAAAACGCUGACAAGGAAAACAUAUAUGAAGCUUUGAACUGAGUGCGAAGAAGUGAACUUCACAGACACAAGUUGGGAAGUCCGUGUCGCAUGGUUGCUGAGCAUAAGGCAUCUUUGGAAAGCAUUUCUAAAAAAAAGCAGUAGUCGAGGAGAAGGAAAGAAAAAGAGAAAAGCAUUUGCAGUGUAUUAGUCUGUUUCCACUGCAAUAACAAAACAUCUGAAUGGGAUACUUUUUUCAAAAAAAAUGCUCUCAGAUUUUGAGGGUAAAAUGCCAAGAUUAGAUGUCCCUAUCUAUUUGACUUGUGGUGAAGACCCCUGGGCUGCAUCCCAUUGUGGCAGAAGCACAUGGAAAACAGAUCCUGUAGCCUAACAGUUUCUGUCCCUGUAGGGCUCUCCUGGGAGCCAUUCACUGAAUCUUCUGUGUUAAGAGACUUGUGGAAGAGAGCAAAGAGGACCUCAUGGGACACACAGUGCAGGACACACAGAAGCGGGCUUCUGUAUCAGGUUCAUCGCGGACAUUGAAUCGGACUGAGAUGCAAGCUGUUUCGUGGCAGAAACGUGCAAAGAAACUUCUGGGAAUGCUGAGAGGCCCUGCUAAGCGACUAGUGCUUUUGUGUUGGAGGAGGCAAAGGAAAGCAGAGGUGUCGGAGAUGGAAACAGAGCUCAACUCUAGAAUUUGCCUGGAGUGUACGGUUGCUGUCGUGUGAACAUGGUCAAAGCACAUGACACACUUGAAUGUGAUGUCUUUAGGAACCCUUCCCUGGAGCUUUUAGGGGAAUAAAAGGACCUGUGGUGCUA